GCGUUCUGUAAGCCUGUGAAGGUGGCCUGUGAGGGUUGCUGGAGGUAUCAGAAGUGCGAAUGCUGACAUAAGUAACGAUAAAGCGGGUGAAAAGCCCGCUCGCCGGAAGACCAAGGGUUCCUGUCCAACGUUAAUCGGGGCAGGGUGAGUCGACCCCUAAGGCGAGGCCGAAAGGCGUAGUCGAUGGGAAACGGGUUAAUAUUCCCGUACUUGGUGUUACUGCGAAGGGGGGACGGAGAAGGCUAUGUUGGCCGGGCGACGGUUGUCCCGGUUUAAGCGUGUAGGUGUGUGUUCCAGGUAAAUCCGGUUCACUUUAACACUGAGGCGUGACGACGAGGCACUACGGUGCUGAAGCAACAAAUGCCCUGCUUCCAGGAAAAGCCUCUAAGCAUCAGGUAACAUCAAAUCGUACCCCAAACCGACACAGGUGGUCAGGUAGAGAAUACCAAGGCGCUUGAGAGAACUCGGGUGAAGGAACUAGGCAAAAUGGUGCCGUAACUUCGGGAGAAGGCACGCUGACACGUAGGUGAAGUGAUUUACUCAUGGAGCUGAAGUCAGUCGAAGAUACCAGCUGGCUGCAACUGUUUAUUAAAAACACAGCACUGUGCAAACACGAAAGUGGACGUAUACGGUGUGACGCCUGCCCGGUGCCGGAAGGUUAAUUGAUGGGGUCAGCGCAAGCGAAGCUCCUGAUCGAAGCCCCGGUAAACGGCGGCCGUAACUAUAACGGUCCUAAGGUAGCGAAAUUCCUUGUCGGGUAAGUUCCGACCUGCACGAAUGGCGUAAUGAUGGCCAGGCUGUCUCCACCCGAGACUCAGUGAAAUUGAACUCGCUGUGAAGAUGCAGUGUACCCGCGGCAAGACGGAAAGACCCCGUGAACCUUUACUAUAGCUUGACACUGAACAUUGAGCCUUGAUGUGUAGGAUAGGUGGGAGGCUUUGAAGUGUGGACGCCAGUCUGCAUGGAGCCGACCUUGAAAUACCACCCUUUAAUGUUU
rnacentral:rRNA from 1 species